CUCUACUGAGAUGAAGAAAGAAAAAGAAUACAUGCUCAGCUCCAGGGACACGUAAAGGGACAGAGAUUGGGGGACAGAAGGAAGUGCAUUAAUUCCUUCCACGACCCCUGAAGAGCAGCGGUGGGUCUGAGCAUGCUAUCUCCAUGAAGCAGGCCAGCAGGCAAGCCAGCUGCCACCUCGUCCUGUGCAAAGCACAGGCACCGUCCCCAAAAGAUUUCCAAAGAUGAUGUUAAACCCAGCCAUGGUUCUCAUCUCCAGGAAAGCAAUUGCUGUGGUACAAAAGGACAAGGGUUAAAAGAGAACAGUGGGAGCUCUCUUUCCCAACUAACUC
rnacentral:sRNA from 1 species